rnacentral:rRNA from 1 species
CCUACGGGAGGCUGCAGUGGGGAAUAUUGCACAAUGGGCGCAAGCCUGAUGCAGCCAUGCCGUGUGUGUGAAGAAGGCCUUCGGGUUGUAAAGCACUUUCAGCGGGGAGGAAGGCGGUGAGGUUAAUAACCUCAUCGAUUGACGUUACCCGCAGAAGAAGCACCGGCUAACUCCGUGCCAGCAGCCGCGGUAAUACGGAGGGUGCAAGCGUUAAUCGGAAUUACUGGGCGUAAAGCGCACGCAGGCGGUCUGUCAAGUCGGAUGUGAAAUCCCCGGGCUCAACCUGGGAACUGCAUUCGAAACUGGCAGGCUAGAGUCUUGUAGAGGGGGGUAGAAUUCCAGGUGUAGCGGUGAAAUGCGUAGAGAUCUGGAGGAAUACCGGUGGCGAAGGCGGCCCCCUGGACAAAGACUGACGCUCAGGUGCGAAAGCGUGGGGAGCAAACAGGAUUAGAUACCCUUGUAGUC